rnacentral:rRNA from 1 species
GGUUUGAUUCUGGCUCAGAUUGAACGCUGGCGGAUGCUUUACACAUGCAAGUCGAACGGCAGCACGGACUUCGGUCUGGUGGCGAGUGGCGAACGGGUGAGUAAUGUCGGAACGUGCUCUAGUAGCGGGGAUAACUACGCGUGAAAGCGUAGCUAAUACCGCAUACGCCCUUCGGGGAAAGCGGGGGACCUUCGGGCCUCGCACUAUUAGAGCGGCCGAUAUCGAUUAGCUAGUUGGUGGGGUAACGGCUCACCAAGGCGAUGAUCCGUAGCUGGUUUGAGAGGACGACCAGCCACACUGGGACUGAGACAUCGGCCCAGACUCCUACGGGAGGCAGCAGUGGGGAAUUUUGGACAAUGGGGGAAACCCUGAUCCAGCCAUCCCGCGUGGUGAUGAAGGCCUUUGGGUUGUAAAGACUUUUUGGCAGGAAAGAAAACGGCACGGGAUAAUACCCCGUGCAACUGAUUUAAAAAUUUGCAGAAUAAGCACCGGCUAACUACGCGCCAGCAGCCGCGGUAAUACGUAGGGUGCAAGCGUUAAUCGGAAUUACUGGGCGAAGCGUGCGCAGGCGGUUCGGAAAGAAAGAUGUGAAAUCCCAGAGCUUAACUUUGGAACUGCAUUUUUAACUACCGAGCUAGAGUGUGUCAGAGGGAGGUGGAAUUCCGCGUGUAGCAGUGAAAUGCGUAGAUAUGCGAGGAACACCGAUGGCGAAGGCAGCCUCCUGGGAUAACACUCGACGCUCAUGCACGAAAGCGUGGGGAGCAAACAGGAUUAGAUACCCUGGGUAGUCCACGCCCUAAACGAUGUCAACUAGCUGCUGGGGCCUUCGGGCCUUGGUAGCGCAGCUAACGCGUGAAGUUGACCGCCUGGGGAGUACGGUCGCGUAAAGAUUAAAACUCAAAGGAAUUGAUGGGGACCCGCACAAGCGGUGGAUGAUGUGGAUUAAUUCGAUGCAACGCGAAAACCUUACCUACCCUUGACAUGUCUGAAUCCCGAAGAGAUUUGGGAGUGCUCAAAAAGAGAACCGGAACACAGGUGCUGCAUGGCUGUCAAGUCAGCUCGUGUCGUGAGAUGUUGGGUUAAGUCCUCCGGCAACGAGCGCAACCCUUGUCAUUAGUUGCUACGAAAGGGCACUCUAAUGAGACUGCCGGUGACAAACCGGAGGAAGGUGGGGAUGACGUCAAGUCCUCAUGGCCCUUAUGGGUAGGGCUUCACACGUCAUACAAUGGUCGGGAUAGAUAAUGUCAACCCGCGAGGGGGAGCCAAUCCCAGAAACCCGAUCGUAGAAUCCGAUCGCAGUCUGCAACUCGACUGCGUGAAGUCGGAAUCGCUAGUAAUCGCGGAUCAGCAUGUCGCGGUGGAAUACGUUCCCGGGUCUUGUACACACCGCCUGUCACACCAUGGGAGUGGGCUUUACCAGAAGUAGUUAGCCUAACCCGUAAGGAGGGCGAUUACCACGGUAGGAUUCAUGACUGGGGUGUCGUAACAAGGUAG